UACGUAGGGGGCAAGCGUUGUCCGGAUUUACUGGGCGUAAAGAGCGUGUAGGCGGCCAAGCAGGUCCGUUGUGAAAACUGGAGGCUUAACCUCCAGACGUCGACGGAAACCGCGUGGCUAGAGUCCGGAAGAGGAGAGUGGAAUUCCUGGUGUAGCGGUGAAAUGCGCAGAUAUCGGGAAGAACACCCGUGGCGAAGGCGGUUCUCUGGGACGGUACUGACGCUGAGACGCGAAAGCGUGGGGAGCGAACAGG
rnacentral:rRNA from 1 species